rnacentral:rRNA from 1 species
CCUACGGGAGGCAGCAGUGAGGAAUAUUGGUCAAUGGACGAGAGUCUGAACCAGCCAAGUAGCGUGAAGGAUGACUGCCCUAUGGGUUGUAAACUUCUUUUAUAUGGGAAUAAAAUGUUCCACGUGUGGGAUUUUGUAUGUACCAUAUGAAUAAGGAUCGGCUAACUCCGUGCCAGCAGCCGCGGUAAUACGGAGGAUCCGAGCGUUAUCCGGAUUUAUUGGGUUUAAAGGGAGCGUAGGUGGAUUGUUAAGUCAGUUGUGAAAGUUUGCGGCUCAACCGUAAAAUUGCAGUUGAAACUGGCAGUCGUGAGUACAGUAGAGGUGGGCGGAAUGCGUGGGGUAGCGGUGAAAUGCUUAGAUAUCACGAAGAACUCCGAUUGCGAAGGCAGCUCACUGGACUGCAACUGACACUGAGGCUCGAAAGUGUGGGUAUCAAACAGGAUUAGAUACCCCAGUAGUC